rnacentral:ncRNA from 1 species
UACUGACUGACCUAGCAGACUUGCCAAGACAGUAGAGUAACAAAGGAGAAGAAAAUG